CCACGAAAGUGCGAUCUCCUCACCCAUACGAUCAAAUCCUCACUGGUAGAAAGCCGAACCGAGUUCACGUCUCAGCUGAAGUCGCCUUUCUGCAAUAUGAAACCUAACACAUUCGACUGA
rnacentral:rRNA from 1 species